rnacentral:lncRNA from 1 species
CAGGACUCGGAACCGGACUCGCACGCUCAGGGUGUGGGCCUCUGCCGGCUACUUUCCAAGAAGCAAUGAGACCUGCUUGGAAUUCUUAGUGGGAUUAUCUGGAAGUUGCUGGCAGAGGGGGUUGGGUGCUGGAGGAAGGAACAGGCAGAGAGAUCACGUGUCUCAGCCUGUUCUGCAUUUCUUUCUUCUCUCCCUCUGUCUUUAGCUCCUUCAUUCUAUCCCUCCUUGGAAGAUGAAUAGCCACUUUGUAAACUGAAUUCCAUUUUACUGGGAUCUGUUUUGCAGGGAGACAGCAUUGCAUGGCGCUGACGUUGCCGCCAGGCUGUGCGGAGUCGAAUUCUUCACCACAUGCUGGCUGUGUGGGCUUAAACUCUUCGUGUCUCAGUUCCUUGACAGUAAAGGAGUGGAAUUGAGGCAGUGUGAAAAUGAACCAAUACAAGUCCCGGCCAUCAUCUGAUCUAUUCUGAGGGAUCGGGGUUACCUGAGGGAUUGGGAGAUUCCUGAUGCUUUCACCAAGAGGACUUGUUUCCAUCACUGUAAGAUGGGGUUGAUGAUCCCCACCAGGAAACUGUAAGCCCUGAAUGAAACGAGUUCUGCUAAGAUUUUUGGAACCUGAGAAACACCAUACAAUGUAAGAUGCUUAUACAUCGUCUGGCCAAGAAUUCUUUUUUGACUUUAGUGCAACAAUAAAGGACUCCAGCCAGGCGUGGUGGCUCACACCUGUAAUCCCAGCACUUUGGGAGGCCAAGGCAGGCAGACCAUGAGGUCAAGAGUUCAAGACCAGCGUGGCCAACAUGGUGAAACCCCGUUUCUACUAAAAAUACAAAAAUGAGCCAGGCACAGUGGUGUGUACCUGUAAUCCCAGCUACUCAAGAGGCUAAGGCAGGAGAAUCACUUGAACCUGGGAAGCACAGGUUGCAGUGAGCCGAGAUCGCACCACUGCACUCUAGCCUGGGCAACAGAACGAGACACGGUCUCAAAAAAUAAAUAAAUAAAUAAAUAAAGGAAUCCUGAUUGAAAUA